GAGAGAGUGAGAGAGAGAACGAACACACUCAGAGAGAACACACAAAGAAAAGACAGAAAGGGCAGGGGGUCUCCAUUAGACGGAAUUGACCAGAAGCAUGCGGCCAAGAGAAGUGCCCCCUGAGGACAGACUGAUAGACCAAGUUAGCCCGGGCGAGACUCAAACACUGAAUCUAUGGACUUUUUCAUCUUCCUGUGAUAGCUGAUAGCAACCCAAAGAAGAUAGGUCAUCGAAACCGAAAUUACCUUCUAAUCUUCCUCCAGAAUUGUAAAAGGAGAAAAAUUUUGAUGUUCUUAAAGAUGGAUCCAUUAGCCUUAAUUUACUCUCAAGGACCCACUCUGGUACUAUUUGUUGUAGCUGUUAUUUAGUUGCUAGGACUUGAAAUCAAGACCUAGAACAUACAGGCACAUCUGUUGGAACAUACUUCUUCAGGACUCCAGCUUAUACAGAAGGCAAGCUGAAUCUCCUAGCCUCACAGGACUGAGCAACUACUAGACUCUUGGACUUCCCAUUCACAGCUGCCUAUUGGGUUGGUUGAACUGGAGACUUAAGUCAUUACAAUAAAUUCCCUUAAUAUAUACAUUCCCUAAGUCCUGUGACUUUAGAGAAUCCUGACUAAUUCAUGAAAAAGGAUUUGAUACUACAAAUGACCUGUUUCUUACCAUACUUUUGCCUUAAUUUUUUCUUUUUAAAAAUUUGGGACAUGAUAUCAUUUGCAGCCAUGACUGACACUGAACUCAUGUUCCUCCUGUCUUGGACUUCCUGAGUGCUGGGAUCACAGGCAAGCAUCACCACCUUUAACUACCUGGGUCUAUUACUAUUAGAACCUGUUUAUAAUAAUUGCCUAUGACGUUUGCUAGUUUGUAAUAUUCUAUUUCCUCAAUCUUGCAUUAUUCAUUCCAAUUUUACUACAAUGAAGACCUUUUCCUACUUACUUUUUUUGAAAAGAUUUGAUUAUAUAAGUAUGAAGGUACAUUUGUUUUAUUUCAUGGGUUAUAAUUAAUUAUGACCAACAUCAUUUUUCUAAGAUUAUCCAAAGCUAGGACAGCUUUCUAAUUUUCUGACAGAAAACUAACUUUUGUUAUUCAUAGAAUAUUUGCUUCUUUGCUAUAGACGGAUGAAGUAAUUUCAUAAUCGCUAACAAAUAUUUCAGAAAAGUAAAUGUUCAGAUUUUUUUUUUUUUCUGGUAAGCUACCUCAAAAGUUUUUUGCGCCGAAAACAAAAAGAAAGGGUUCAAAGGAAGGAAGGGAAGGAAGACCUUGCAUGCUUCUGUAUAUAGAAUAUAAAUUUCACUAGGCUUAGGUAAAAUAUGUACAUUGAUAUGAUAAACAUUAUUAUAUACAUAUUUUACAUCAUAUAGAUAACAACCUCACAGUAUAUACUUCUAUCAUAAGAAUAAAUAUAAUACCCUUUUCUUUAUAUAUUUUGGUCAGAAUAGGUCUCAAGCCAGCAGUAUUGUUCACCCAUUCAAUAAUCCCACAUUCAUCAUUCAGUGGAAUAACUGCAUAUGUUCGGAUAUGAAGUUCUCUUCGACGUGAUUCUGCAUCUUUUCUUAAGCUCUAUGGAAAACAAAGACAGAAAUAAAAAUAAAAUAGGAUUCAGAUUCCUAUUAUGUCAAAUAUAUCUAAAUAUUGUUCAUUUCCUAGUAAAAGUGCUGAUGGCAGCCUGUAAUGCAUAGUUCUGAAAGUUAGAAGAAGAAGCUAUGGGAUCAUCGCUAUCCUACUUCUAAACCUUAAGAUGCCUUGGAGUAGCUUCUCUUUAGUUCUCUACUAUGCAUGUAACAGAAUACUACAUUUGAAAAAGCAGUAUUUAUAGCCAUAUCAACAACAAAACACUAUUGUUUUCUUUUCUACAGCAUUAGAGAUAAUGAUUAAUAAUAAGUACUUAAGCACAGAGACUAUAAUGUUUAAUUUUAUCUAAGAAUUGUUAUUUUACUUUCCUCAUCAUAAGGAAUCAUACUAUCUAUCCCCCCACCCCCAAAUCCCCAAUCCUGUGCUGUAUGUAAGUCUGUGUAUAAAUAGACAUAAUUAAUCUUUUAUUCUGAGACUGGGUCUUGCUUGCCAAACUUUCUAAUAAAAAAUGAGUUCUAUUAGUCUAUAA
ensembl:antisense Gm16794 predicted gene, 16794